UUGACCUCGGAUCAGGUAGGGAUACCCGCUGAACUUAAGCAUAUCAAUAAGCGGAGGAAAAGAAACCAACCGGGAUUGCCUCAGUAACGGCGAGUGAAGCGGCAAGAGCUCAAAUUUGAAAGCUGGCCCCUUUGGGGUCCGCAUUGUAAUUUGCAGAGGAUGCUUCGGAUACGGCCCCCGUCUAAGUGCCCUGGAACGGGCCGUCGGAGAGGGUGAGAAUCCCGUCUGGGAUGGGGUGUCCGUGUCCGUGUGAAGCUCCUUCGACGAGUCGAGUUGUUUGGGAAUGCAGCUCUAAAUGGGUGGUAAAUUUCAUCUAAAGCUAAAUACUGGCCGGAGACCGAUAGCGCACAAGUAGAGUGAUCGAAAGAUGAAAAGCACUUUGAAAAGAGAGUUAAAAAGCACGUGAAAUUGUUGAAAGGGAAGCGCUUGCGACCAGACUCGCCUGUGGGGUUCAGCCGGGAUUCGUCCCGGUGUACUUCCCCGUAGGCGGGCCAGCGUCGGUUUGGGCGGCCGGUCAAAGGCCUCCGGAAUGUAUCGCCCCCCGGGGCGUCUUAUAGCCGGAGGUGCAAUGCGGCCUGCCUGGACCGAGGAACGCGCUUCGGCACGGACGCUGGCAUAAUGGUCGUAAGCGACC
rnacentral:rRNA from 2 species